rnacentral:rRNA from 1 species
UACGUAGGCAGCAAGCGUUGUUCGGAGUUACUGGGCGUAAAGAGUGUGUAGGCGGUUCUCUAAGUUUGGUGUGAAAUCUCCCGGCUUAACUGGGAGGGUGCGCCGAAAACUGGAGGGCUUGAGUAUGGGAGAGGGAAGCGGAAUUCCUGGUGUAGCGGUGAAAUGCGUAGAUAUCAGGAGGAACACCGGUGGUGUAGACGGCUUCCUGGACCAUUACUGACGCUGAGACACGAAAGCGUGGGUAGCAAACAGG